rnacentral:lncRNA from 1 species
AGAAGAAUUUUUGGUUUUGUUUUGCUUUUCUUUGUUUCUAUAACUUUAAAAAUAACAUUUACCUAUUUAUUUGGGAACAACAUAGACCUUUGGAGGUUAGAGUGAAAUUUUGCAGGAGUCAGUUUUGUUCUUUCACCAUGAAGUCCCCAAUAGAUUGAACUCAAUUCAAUUGGCUUGCUAGCAUGUACAUGCUGAGUCAUCUUACUCCCCUCCCCUCCCCCACUCCCCUUUAGAGUCAAGGUCUUAAUUAUCUCAGGCUGGCCUUAAUUCACUAUGAAGCCAAGGGUGAUCUUGAACUUCCUUACAAAAGAAUUACUUAUCUCCUGCUUAUUUGCUAGAGCCUAUAUGUGUAUACGUGUACUGCAUUUGUGUCUGGUACGUUGGCUUUGGUUUCUCUAGAAAGGAAGGACAGUUGUAAAUCCAGGAGCCUCUGCAGAAGCAGCCAGUACUGCUGAUUCAUCUCAGCCUUGCUCUUGAACUCUUGAUCCUCCUGCCUCCACCUCCUGAUUGCUGUGUUCCACCAUGAAUGUUUGUGUGGUCCUGGGGAUUGAACACAAGCUUUAUGCAUGCUAGGAAAGCCCUCUACUAAGCUAUACCACCUCUGCUUUUAUAUUUUCUAUUUGAGUUUUUUAAUGAAGGUUACUGAAUUUUUAUAUACUUUUGAGCAGAAUUCUGGUGACUUCGUUUUUGUGGUUUAGUUUAUCAAAGGCCUUGAAAAGUUAAAAUGCUUAAUUUAUUACCAUUCUUGAAACAUUGGAACAUUUCAAAAGAUCACAAUUGAUUUGAAAUAGGUCAUAUAUCUUAUAGUAACUGGUAAUUUGAAGAGUCUUAUUUAAAAGAGUAAAGAUAAAACAGCAGACUCUAUUUUUUGUUUUUUGUCUGUAAAUAAUACAAUGUGCGAGUUCCUGUUUGAAAAUAGCAUUUCAUUUAGCUGUUUCAUGUAACCUUUUAUGUAACAUUUCAUCUAAAUAUUACUUGUUACCUUAUUGGCUUCAAUUAAAUUUCUUCCUCUAGUUUGGAAAAAAGGAUAUGGAUGAGUAAGGGGCAGUUGAUAGGAUUUUAUGACAUUUUAAGGACAAGAUUAGGUUAAUAUAAAUUUUACAAUUGUGUAUGUGUUUAUCUUCUGAGCCAUCUGCUUUAGGUAGUUAACAUACGGCUAAUAACUUGUCAGUUAAUUAGCUGAUCUUUGCAUUUGAGCCAGACAGUAAUAGGGCUUACAAUAGUAACUUCCGUGGAAGCUUUGUAGUUAGGUAACUGUCAUAGUUUCUUUUUGUCUAAGAUGGUUUUGAAAAUACUACGCCUCUUGUCCUGAGUCAGACACAUGUGACUAAAGGCUUGCUUAUGGAUAUCUACCACACUGGUGAGUCCUUGACAGGUCUUAUAGCCUCUAAUCUUGUCUGUCUACCACGAAAAUAGAACUCACCAUAGAUGACUGCUGUGAAUGUUGAGUGUUACUUUAUUACUGUAAAAUAAUUAUUUUGUAAAUUUCCUUUUGGAUUUUAAAAAUUGAAGUAAUAGGAAUGGGAAGCAAGGUUUGCUUUAAUCUUGCUCAUCACCCUAGAACCUUGUGGUGAUACAGAAAAGCAAAACC